AAAAAGAUGUAGUCCUCCACUA
rnacentral:miRNA from 1 species